rnacentral:lncRNA from 1 species
AGUGGAAGAACUUUUAGACUAAAAUCUAUAUCUUUAGGCUUAAUUAAUUCAUAUACUGAUUAGAUUUUAUUUUUUUUGUAUAGUCAUGGCCUCAAACUUGUCGCUCCGAUCACUGUUUGACAGUGAAAAAUUGAUGGGAUCCAACUUUGAUAACUAGUAUCGAAAAUUAAAAAUAGUCCUGGAGCACGAGCAGAUCUUGUACAUCUUUACAGAUCCAGC